rnacentral:lncRNA from 1 species
GGGCGGUGUCGGAGAUGGGAGCGCCUAGGGACCCGAACCGAGUGCACCUGCUGCAGCCUGGCACUAGGGAUUUGAAAAUCCAUGGAGAUGGAAACCUAUGCCGAGGUUAGAAGACCUGGAUCCACUUUGCAGGAUUUUAAAUAUCCUUCAAGCCUCAGUGCCUGGCAGACUGGACUUUGGACUUCGGACUUCCAGCUCCGAUGCUGAAAAAGGAGGGUUUUUUUGUUUGUUUGUUUUUCCACUUUGCUUCCUUGCUUGUCGAGGCUGAGAACAUACGGUGUUUUUGAGGGCCACCAUCAAAGGGUACUCGCUUCUCCAAACCUUGGAACCCGAGGUCUAGCCUUGGAAAGAGUUGCCGCCUUACCAUCUCUCCUCGCCUAGGGAAGCCCCAGCUGUGUGCGCUACUGCAGGGUCACAGUGCCGCGGUGCCGAGCUUCUUUCGUGGUCCCUGUCGCCGUCCGUUUCUUGAGAUUUCAGACUCUGGGCUUGGAAACCAGUUGACUGCCUUUCUUAGCGAGGUGCCCUCGGAAACCUGUGGAGGAAUGUUUGGAUUAUGAAUGCUCACCGUGCCGAGGUUUUGACAGUUCUUGGGGAAUAUGCACGAAAUUUCCCAGAAAGGAGUUGCUUUUUCAAGUUGAACCUUCUGCGAGGAGACUGAUCAACCAAUGUGGAGAGGUUGGAAUGUUGCAAGUUCAGAGCCAACUUAUCUCAGGCCAUCUUUAAUCUCUCCUGACAGUCCUCGAAGCUAUGUGACAGAGGUGGAGCACCUGGAAUGCAUAGAGAACCAGGUUCCCUUUGGAAAAUAUUCACUCGCUUCCACCAGCCCAAACCCGAAGGUACCAUCAGUACGUGAGGCCUACAACAGGGUUCUCUGUUUUCCUGUAGCCAGCCUCUCUGAUGCUCCCAACAAUGUAUUUGAAAAGCACCUUGAUUCAUUUUUAUUUAUUUAUGACUUUAUUCCAUUACUAGAGAAACUUCGUAAAACUGCUUCCACACUGUUAACCCAGAAUUUAGGGGAAACUAACUCUCUCUGGGUUCCAUGGUCACGGCCAUGGUCACUCACAUUUAUCUCCAAAAUAAACGUCUCUUAUCUUCUCUGAGAGAGGGAGAGAGAGAGA